GACGAACGCUGGCGGCGUGCUUAACACAUGCAAGUCGAACGGAAAGGCCCUGCUUUUGCGGGGUGCUCGAGUGGCGAACGGGUGAGUAACACGUGAGUAACCUGCCCUUGACUUUGGGAUAACUUCAGGAAACUGGGGCUAAUACCGGAUAGGAGCUCCUGCUGCAUGGUGGGGGUUGGAAAGUUUCGGCGGUUGGGGAUGGACUCGCGACUUAUCAGCUUGUUGGUGGGGUAGUGGCUUACCAAGGCUUUGACGGGUAGCCGGCCUGAGAGGGUGACCGGCCACAUUGGGACUGAGAUACGGCCCAGACUCCUACGGGAGGCAGCAGUGGGGAAUAUUGCACAAUGGGCGGAAGCCUGAUGCAGCAACGCCGCGUGCGGGAUGACGGCCUUCGGGUUGUAAACCGCUUUCGCCUGUGACGAAGCGUGAGUGACGGUAAUGGGUAAAGAAGCACCGGCUAACUACGUG
rnacentral:rRNA from 1 species